rnacentral:rRNA from 1 species
GACGAACGCUGGCGGCGUGCCUAACACAUGCAAGUCGAACGGAGAUAUGAUUUCGGUUAUAUCUUAGUGGCGAACGGGUGAGUAACGCGUGAGCAACCUGACCCUUCAGAGGGGGAGUAACACUUGGAAACAGGUGCUAAUACCGCAUAAGACCACGACCCGACAUCGGGAUGCGGUCAAAGGAGCAAUCCGCUGAGGGAGGGGCUCGCGUCCCAUUAGAUAGAUGGCGGGGUAACGGCCCACCAUGUCGACGAUGGGUAGCCGAGCUGAGAGGCUGAUCGGCCACACUGGAACUGAGACACGGUCCAGACU